rnacentral:rRNA from 1 species
GACACGACUCUCGGCAACGGAUAUCUCGGCUCUCGCAUCGAUGAAGAACGUAGCGAAAUGCGAUACCUGGUGUGAAUUGCAGAAUCCCGCGAACCAUCGAGUCUUUGAACGCAAGUUGCGCCCGAGGCCAUCCGGCCGAGGGCACGCCUGCCUGGGCGUCACG